CCAGCCAGUCAGGCAGCUGCAGAGGCACAGCAGCCAGUAAACAGAGCUGUAAACAGGGGAGUUUCAGAGGGAUAUUCCAGGGGGAGGUUGAGGGGGUGACUAAGACAGAGGAACUGACAGGCUAGUUAAAGGAGUGGGUGGUGGUCUGGUGCCUGCUGGGGGUUUGUGUUGUGUUGUGUUGUGUUCCGUGGACUACCAGGCUUUAGGUGGGAAGGCUAUGACUGAUACAGAGGUAGUAGUGAAAGACACAAUGAGGUUGACUGGAUUUG